CAGCAUCAGAGGUCACAUCUCCAGACUCAGGAUGAUGAACACACUCACUCUUCUGCUGGUUGCUCUCUCUCUGUCCUGUUGUACAGGUCAGAGUAUGGAGUCCAUUUCUUCCAGUUCAGUAGUGAAGAGGCCUGGAGAGACUCUCAGUCUCUCCUGCAGAGGAUCUGGCUUCACAUUUACCUGUUGCACUAUGAACUGGAUCAGACAACCUGCAGGAAAAGCACUGGAGUGGAUAGGAGUUGGCUUCUCUACUGCCAGUAGAAACACUUAUGCCAGCAGUGUGAGAGGACGUGCAGAAAUCAGUAGAGAUGACAGCAACAGCAUGGUGCAUCUGAGACUGUCCAACUUGAAGCCAGAGGACUCUGCUGUGUAUUACUGUGCCAAACACACACACUGGUUAAAGUGAGCAGAGA